UCGGGUUGUAAAGCACUUUUGUCCGGAAAGAAAACUUCUGCCCUAAUACGGUGGGAGGAUGACGGUACCGGAAGAAUAAGCACCGGCAACUACGUGCCAGCAGCCGCGGUAAUACGUAGGGUGCGAGCGUUAAUCGGAAUUACUGGGCGUAAAGCGUGCGCAGGCGGUUCGUUAAGACAGAUGUGAAAUCCCCGGGCUUAACCUGGGAACUGCAUUUGUGACUGGCGAGCUAGAGUAUGGCAGAGGGGGGUAGAAUUCCACGUGUAGCAGUGAAAUGCGUAGAGAUGUGGAGGAAUACCGAUGGCGAAGGCAGCCCCCUGGGCCAAUACUGACGCUCAUGCACGAAAGCGUGGGGAGCAAACAGGAUUAGAUACCCUGGUAGUCCACGCCCUAAACGAUGUCAACUAGUUGUUGGGUCUUCAUUGACUUAGUAACGUAGCUAACGCGUGAAGUUGACCGCCUGGGGAGUACGGUCGCAAGAUUAAAACUCAAAGGAAUUGACGGGGACCCGCACAAGCGGUGGAUGAUGUGGAUUAAUUCGAUGCAACGCGAAAAACCUUACCUACCCUUGACAUGGUCGGAACCCUGCUG
rnacentral:rRNA from 1 species